AACGUAGGACGCAAACGUUAUCCGGAGUUACUGGGCGUAAAGCGCGUGCAGGCGGGGUGUUAAGUCGGUUAUGAAAGCUCCCGGCUAAACUGGGAGAGGCUGACCGAGACUGGCAUUCUUGGGUGCGAGAGAGGGGUGCGGAAUUCCGGGUGUAGUGGUGAAAUGCGUAGAGAUCCGGAGGAACACCAGUGGCGAAGGCGGCGCCCUGGCUCGCAACUGACGCUGAGACGCGAAAGCGUGGGGAGCGAACGGG
rnacentral:rRNA from 1 species